UGAAAUAUGAAAUAAUCUACAAAGUAAUUUGAUCCAGCAAUUAAAAACAAGGACAUGAAUUACACUAACAACUGUCACAUAGAAAGAAUUAAUUCCCUCAUAACGCCGCUUGAUGUUACAGACCCUGGGUGAUUAGGAACAGAUUGUAAUUGGAAAAGAGCCAAACCAAUUCAGGUAUCUCCAAAACACAGGAGUAAGCCUCGACUUGCAAAGAGAGAACAUUUUUUACUACCCACAGGAGUAUCUUUCUGCAACUGGAGCUACGGCAUUUACCUAGCGAUUACUCAAGAUACCCACAAUGCAGCGCUGCGAGGUAGCAACUGCCACCGGCGGUGCCACGGGUCCGUGCUGAGGACCAAGUACACCAUUUGUGGAAAGCGGGCCUUAGGCGGUUUCUAGAAACCGAUUUCCCCUAAAUAUGGAUUAUUUGCUCCUUCUGGAAUGUACUCUGGAUAUAACAAUCUUAGGACUCUUGAGGUAUGUCAACUUGAUGUCCAGGAAGGCCACAUCACUGCCAACUCUUAGCAGAAAUGAUGUGCCAUCACUACUGCUACCAGCACUGACUGUUGCCUGUAUUAUAAUCUUUGCUGUUCAAUGUGAUCUUUCUAUAAUUUUAUUCUGUACUUUUUUGCACAACUGUGAAGUUAAAUGUUUUUCUCACUUUAGACCGCAAAUUUCCCUCUUUUGUAAUUUGUUCCAGUUAUCUAUUUAUUUGUCGUCAUCUUAUUCACAUAUUGUUUUGUGUAAAUCCUUUAAAUAAUAAGUAGUUUGGACAUACUUCAUUACUGUGACACAUUUUUUUGUCUUUCUUUUCUGAUUCAGUUUUAUUUAUUUUUAAUGGGAUCUAAAUAUGUAAUUCAAAAAAAUUUUUCCUUCUGUGUAUUUUCCUCUGUUUUUCAAAUGUAAGCCAUCCUUUCCUGUAGAGAGAACAAAUAAAUAUUCAUGUUCUGUUUUAUUUUUAUGAUUUUUAUUUGAAUUAUUUUUAUUGUAAUCUACCUGUAUAUAUUGUGGAACAUAGCAAAAGAUUAGGUUCUACAUUGAAUUUUGUUUCCAGUGAUUCCACUUCAUGUGUUAAUAAAUCAUCAUAGCUCUUUUGUCAUAAUAAAGUUCUCAUAUGUACAAAGGUUGGUUUCUGCAUUAUGCCUUUGUUUCUAGACUAUAAGCUUCAUUCAGGCAGACAAACUUACUGUGUUAUUACAUACCAUUUUCUGUUUGGUUUAAAGAAACCUAGUAAAGCAAAGGAGAUCAAAUUGUCUUUAGAGAAUUGAAAGCCCAGC
rnacentral:lncRNA from 1 species